GACGAACGCUGGCGGCGUGCUUAACACAUGCAAGUCGAACGGAAAGGCCCUGCUUUUGUGCGGUGCUCGAGUGGCGAACGGGUGAGUAACACGUGAGUAACCUGCCCCUGACUUUGGGAUAACUUCAGGAAACUGGGUCUCAUCCCGGCUAGGAGCUCCCGCUGCAUGGUGGGGGCUGGAUAGUUUCGGCGGUUGGGGAUGGACUCGCGGCUUAUCAGCUUGUUGGUGGGGUAGUGGCUUACCAAGGCUUUGACGGGUAGCCGGCCUGGGAGGAGGACCGGACACAUUGGGACUGAGAUGCGGCCCGGACUCGUACGGGAGGCAGCGGAGGAGAAUAUUGCACAGUGGGCGGAAGCCUGGUGCAGCAAAGCAGCGUGCGGGAUGACGGCAUUCGGGUUGUAUACCGCUUUCGCCUGUGACGAGGCGUGAGUGACGGUAAUGGGUAAAGAAGCACCGGCUAACUACGUG
rnacentral:rRNA from 1 species